rnacentral:sRNA from 1 species
CACAGCAUCCAUGAGGCUUGCACAAGCUCCAACCAAACAAAAUUCCAACAUGGAGAUAUGAGGUACUUUUAAGCACAACUGUCCUUCAAUGCCUCAACCAAUGCAGAGAGCCUCACAAAGUUUCCAUCCCAUUUGUUCUUAUGCAGAAAAAUCUACAGAAGAGUUAAUUCUAUUAGCUGUUUCAAAGAAGGGAAUAUAUUGCGAUUCUAAGCUCUGGGGUCUGUCAAGCCCCUUGAGCAUCUGACUUACAAAUUGUCUGAAAAUAAAGUGGGUGAUGCUUUCUGCUCCUAAAUGUGGUGAUUUGUUCUGCACUAGUGGAAAGCAGAAGCAGCCGAGUAGGUACUGAAGUUUAUAAAGAUGGGUUCAGGGUAAGUUCAUGGAGAAUGUGAAAUGAGAACAAAAAUUUACAAGAGUAAAGCAAUUAUUCAGGAAGAUGCAUGGCCUGAGAGAGAUGUGGGCAACAAGACAGCUUGGCAUGUGGAGAGCAUCGGAGAAACAAUGUCCUGGAACAUGAAUGAAUUAAGAGACAGAAGCAGACCCUGACUCCAAUACAAUCAAGAGGACUGAGAAGGGCGGCAUGAGGACACUGGUAUUCGUCCUGUGAGAUGGGAAGCCAAUAUCAGAUUUUUGAGCAAAGAAAUUUAUCUUGGUGUCUUUACAAUACUGAGAAUAUACUACUCGAAAGCAAUAAGACUCAACAGGGAAGCAAUAUCAGGAACUCAGGAAAAUUGGAUCAUGGUGGGUCAGAGCACAAGGAUUGAAUGUGUUCAGUUGUGGAAAAUCGAGUCAUCAUUUGAAAGUGAAUCACUGAAGGAAAAUUGGUGGCUGAAUAGGAGGACCAUCAUCUGGAUUUCAUUGCAGGAUCAUGAUGGUCAAUACCAUGUGGGGAUAUGGCUGAGUCAUCAUGACUAGAUGUUUGCAUGAAUAAUUAAAUAUUUUAGAAACAGUUGAGAUUAAAUAUACCAAUUAUCCUCCAUGAUGUGUUGGGCAUUCUAUAAGUAGCUGGAAACCUCAAUUAAAAAAAAAAAAGAAGGGGUCAUUUUGUAAACUAGUGGCUUUUUUUUUUCAGCUUAAUAUCAACUCUCCCUUAUUAUUGAGUCCAUAGAUGUUGCCUACAGAAAGUGGCUUUCCAGCCUGUGCAAUUGUGUGGGUUAAAGCAUACACACUCUAAAAGAGUAUCUGUGCCCCUUGCAUACUUCUCAGUAAAACAGGCAUUUUUUAUGCUGCAGAGCCAAUCACCUGUCUUCGGGAAUAGCUGAAGUCUUGCCUUGUGCAGUGUGUCUUUGUCAGGGACUGCCUGCUGUAUGUCAGAUACCUGUUGGGCUGUCUGGAGAGAAGGAAAAAGGAGGACACUGACCAAAUCUGGCACUGCCCCUUUACCUCCCCUUUACCUUGGAAGCCCAAGUGAACAGUAUUCUAACUUUUGGGUUCUUCACCUAAAAGUGGGCUUGUGCCUAACUGGAUGUAGUUGUUCAGUUCAUCAAACACCCAUGCUUUAAAACUAUGUAGUACUGAGCCAGUCUUCAAGUAAGCAAUUUUCAAUUGGCAGCAUCAUGGUUCCUGCCUCUCACGCAUGAGGCACUAUGGGCUGUGACUGGUACUGAUAGCUCAAUGAAUAAAUGAGAGUUAAUGACAACAGUACAAUAGUCACAUACACCUGCAUGAUUCUUGAAGCAUAUAUUACUUUCAUAUAUUAUUUUACUAUUUUAGUACUAUAAAUCUGAACAGAUUUUCCUGCUAACUCCAGUAGCAAACAGGAGAUCAUUGGAUUAUUUUAUCCUUCAUCUAUGUAGGGACAUAUUUAUAUGAGGCAAUUUUAUUUGGCUCUUGUAAUCAUGGUUAAAAUAAUUAUUUCCCCCAAAGCCAAUAAAAUACAGAUAGGGAAAUGACAGAGAGACAUGCAUAAUUUCAGUAAGAAUAUUUUAAGGAAUCAUAUAAAACUUUCAUUUGAAAAUAAACUUAAUAAAGAGAUUUUAUGCAUCUUAGCACCCAAUUGUGCAUUUAUAAUGACUUGAGUGGAAUUUCACAAAAUUGCAUCAGAAAUGAUGCCAAUUUAUCUUUAGUGUUUUUCAGAGACUUAUUUUUUUUUGCUGGAAGCUAUUUCAUUAUAAUCUAGAUAUUUUUCCAAGAAAGAGACUAAUUUUCUUCUUUAAUACUCAUCUUAAUUGAAAAGACUAAGUAGGAUUAAUAAUAAUGGUAGCUGUUCCUCACAUAUACUUGAGAGGCAGCCAACAAUGAGGAAGAAGCUUUACAAGCAAUUUCCAUGCAAAUGUCACAACAGUACCUGGAAUCUUCCAAGUGAGACCUUAAAGACACAUGACUUUUUUUUCAGAGUUAGCAGCUCAGGUAACAUAGUUGGUGUAUUAUAAAUCACCAUUUGAACAUUAGAGAGCAGAAUUGGUGAUUUCUGUGUGUUUGUGUGUUUGUGAUCUCUCUCUCUCUGUCUCUCUCUGUCUGUGUGUGUGUGUGUGUGUGUGUGUGUGUGUGUGUGUGUGUGUAUUGUAUGUCUAUAUCUACAUGCUACGUAGUUUUGGAGAUCUGACCAACACUUAGAUCAACAUCUGGCGUCUCCUAUUGUUCUGCAAUUGUUUUGUGAUACAGGGAUUCCCACUAACCUUCAAACUUGCUGAAUUGGGUAGACUGGGUGCAAAGAUCCCCUGAAAUUUUCCUGUCUGUGUCUCCAAAUACUGACGUCAGAAACAGACACAUAUGUCCACAUGCGAAUUUAAUAUAUUUUCGUUAAUGUUUUUAUAAAGAGUUUGAGUAAACAUAGGGUGUGAGACUGGUAAUGAUCAGACAAUUAUAAGGACAACUCACUGUUACAUGAGUGGGUGCUUUAUUUUAUAUGAUUUUAGUCAUGUGUUUUUGUGUAUGUUUGCUCUGCAUAUGGAUAUAUGUGCAUGAAUUCAGAGUUCAUAAAGCCAGAGUCAUCAUAGAGUUGGAGCAGUAGACAGUUGAAAUAAACUGGAUGUGGAUGCUGGGAACCAAGCUCAUAUCAGAUAAAUGCUGAGCUAUUUCUCCAGCAUUGGCAUUCAUGCUUUAAAGUGGUAGAAAAAUGAAUCAGUAUAACUGUUAUCAUUGUAUGGACUGUAAAUAAUGAGUUUAUUAUGAAUAAAUAAUCAGUCAGAUGACAUGUAUAAUUUGAUGAGUCCCUUU